GCCGAGGUGCGGAGAGGAAGAAGGAGAUGGAGGGGGGAGGCGGAAGUGUGGACAGAGAUCGCGAGUGCGUGACAGAGAAGGGAGAGACAUACAGCUAGCUUACGAUAGAGAUUGCGCUGUAUAAUGGCACCGCCCCGACAAAUCAAGCCAUCGGCAUCAUUCACCUACUUUACUCCUCCUGUCCCCCUCGCACUGCAUGCACCCUUCGAGCUGAUGCUGUGAAGAGGAGGAAGCAGGAAGGGUUUGGGCUCUGAUGCUUUCAUGUCAACGAGAUCGUUGUGUUUACACCGAGCGCCACUUCGCUAUCGCACUCAGGCUCACUGCUGGGAGUGCUAGACAAAAAGCCAUCGAAACCUCCUCCGCACCCUACGUACUUUGUCUAGGGAAGGAGCUGGAGGAAGUGGUGGGUGGUGGUGGGAAGUGGGGCCAUGCAGAGAGAUGCGAGUGAGUGUGUGAUGUUGUCCACUACCCCCGACCAACGCCAACCCGCCCAACUCGCACUCUCUCUCUCUCUCUCUCUCCUCCCGCUUUGUCCUGCGCCGAGUCGCUUGCGGGUCGCCUACCUGUAGUGCACCUUUGUCGUGUGGCUGUUGCCGCUCGCCGUGCGUCAUCAGUUGGGUUCUCUCUCUUCCAACCGUCGCCUUCGGCCGUCCUCGCUUCCUCACAGGUUGGGUGAGUUUGUCGUGGUUGAGACCACUUCAUGAGGCGCGCACCUUCCUAAUUGGAUUCUGUCUCGUUUGAUGAUAUGAGCUCGAAUAUCCCCCGGGUUCAUGAUUGUAGUGCAGGCUGUGGCUUGCGCUUCACCUCUUUGAACCCGACUGCGCCGAACCGUGUCGAGGCCGUCGGGGCGAGCAACAGCGAGCGGUGAUCGGCAACCGCCUUCCUUCUCCCUGCCUUUGCUGCAUGAUCCUGCGCCGAUGCAGUUGUGCAGGGUCUCUUCUGGGCUUCGUUGUCUCCUUCCUGCACUGAUUCUCUUUCGCCACCCGGGAUGCAGAAUUCUAACGCUCGCUUUCUUCCGACGCUGAAUUUUUGAGGAUGCGCCGUUUUUGCUUCGAAUUCAGUCUACUGCCUCCGGACUCUGGAUCUUCGGUUCUAUCUAUCUAUCUUUCUAUUUACACAUCAUGAUAGGUCAUAUUCUUCACAUUUUAAACUCUUAUUCUGUUGGUCAAUUAACUAAUUUUAAAAGAUUCUAAUUCGCAUUAGAAUAAUAGCGUAGUAAAAGUGAUGUAUCUGUUUUGUUCCUUUCUUUUUCAGAUUAUUUUUGUAACAUCACCGUAGGUUUAAUAUGCAGGAUUUAUAACAUCGAAAAUAAGACGUGUAAUUCACAGGGUGUACAAUGAGUGUUCAUUGUGUAUAUAUACACACAUACUCACAUAUAUAUAUAUAUAUAUAUAUAUAUAUAUAUAUAUAUAAUUGCAUGUUGAUAUUUGUGCCUUCAUUCGUGAACAACAACUGUCCAUUAAGUUUUUAAUAUCAGACAAUGUGUUUGUUCUCAUUCUAUUUAUAUUUUCUAGAAUGACCUUCAA